UCUUUCCAUUUCAGAAUUCCCUUUAACAUUUCUUGUAAGGCUAGCUUAGUGGUGGUGAACUCCUUGAACUUUUGUUUGUCUGGGAAACU